rnacentral:rRNA from 1 species
GAUGAACGCUGGCGGCGUGCCUAAUACAUGCAAGUCGAGCGAACGGACGAGAAGCUUGCUUCUCUGAUGUUAGCGGCGGACGGGUGAGUAACACGUGGAUAACCUACCUAUAAGACUGGGAUAACUUCGGGAAACCGGAGCUAAUACCGGAUAAUAUUUUGAACCGCAUGGUUCAAAAGUAAAAGACGGUCUUGCUGUCACUUAUAGAUGGAUCCGCGCUGCAUUAGCUAGUUGGUAAGGUAACGGCUUACCAAGGCAACGAUGCAUAGCCGACCUGAGAGGGUGAUCGGCCACACUGGAACUGAGACACGGUCCAGACUCCUACGGGAGGCAGCAGUAGGGAAUCUUCCGCAAUGGGCGAAAGCCUGACGGAGCAACGCCGCGUGAGUGAUGAAGGUCUUCGGAUCGUAAACCUCUGUUAUUAGGGAAGAACAUAUGUGUACGUAACUGUGCACAUCUUGACGGUACCUAAUCAGAAAGCCACGGCUAACUACGUG